CCUUUUGCUUUGAACCCGCUACCUAAUUCAAAACCCAAACUAUUGUUAUUGUUUCAUGGAAUUGAACUCUUGGACUUAAGCCCAAAUUGUUCGCCCAAUGAACCAAACUCACAAAAAAGGGCCCAUUUACGUUGAGUUCCAAUCAGAAAUCGAGCCUGGGGAGAAGUCGAAAUUAUAUUGGAAUUUUAACUGCAAUUGCAAUCACAAACACAACCACUCGUCGAACCUCGACAACCUCAACAGAAAUUUUAAUUGCCAAUUGAGCCAACAUUCAUAGCCCAAACACCCUGGGAACCACAGAUCUCAAUGCCCAAACACGGAGAACUCCAAUCUCAACUCUAAUGGAUAUUUUCUGAUUGUAUGAUAAGGCACUGAUGGCAAUCCAAUUGAAAUAAAAUACGCAUGAAGAACCAAAAUUCUUAUCACUUGUAUUUUGCUAGGCCUAAUCAGGAAUGAGUGUAGUAUGAAGAUAACAAUAUUGCUUGCUCCUGUUUGUUUACUAAAUUGAUGAGAAAAUAGAUGACCAAAUCGACUAAUAUGCUAGGCAGAACACUCACAAUUCUAAAUUUUAUUUCACAAUGCAAUCGAUUAUAACUGAUUACACCCAAUGUAUAUGAAUAAACUGCUGGAAAUAGCCCUGUUAUUACAUACUCCAACUAAAUUCAACCGAGCAGCUUAUAUAUGACUACAAUAUUCAACGACGAAUCACAAUAAAAUUUAUUCAGUCAUGGCGAAACAAAUCCACAGCCAGAAUUGGUUUCAGUGUUUAUUUCAUGUAGUCAACUGUAAGAAAAUACAUCAAAGCUAGUUCAAAGAUGUACCUAGAAACUGUAACACAAGGAGAAUAGAGUAGAUCAGAGAUCAACAGCAGGACUAGAAGAUUCAAUCGAACAGCCCAAAAAAUUUGUUUCAAGUCCAGAAUGAGUUUGAAAUCAAGAAAAAUCAGAAGAAUCAACUACAGACCAUGUAUAUAAACCCUAUUAAACUUUAAAUUGAGACCCAUGCUUCACACGUCCCUUGGCAAAUAAACCAAAUAACAGCACAGCGACUCACAAUGCACUAAUAUACUUUCCGAAUUGAUCUUAUAUGUAAAACCAAAUCAAAUAGACCCAAAUGCUCUUAAACCUGCUACCAAAACCUUUAAGUGCUGUUUAACAGACUCCAAACUAUAGUAGAAUCAGAGAAAUUCUAAUAGGUACUUAAACUAUUUGGAAAGUCAAUGAAACAGUAAAGUUUUUUUUAAAUUUCUGUUUUUUUUAAUAAUUUAUGUAGAUUUGAAGGUAAGUUAAGAUCUAGAAAUCAAAGAGAUGGAGUUUUUGGGAGGAAUUUUGAGCUGAAAAAGAAGACCCCUUCCCCAAGGCAUUUUGAUGUCCUUUUAUAGGCAAUAAUAGAGUGAUGAAUCAAAUUUUUGAUAUUCUAUUUUAGUCCCUCUUUGUUUUCAUUUUACUCGCUUUAUUACUAACUUGUUACCCACGUAAGUACUUUUAUUGUGCUGAAAUGUAUAGUAAAGUCUAUUCUAGAGUAUGGUAUAUCCAUUACAAUUCCUGUACUACCCUUUUCCUACAUUGAAAUUACUAGUCCUAAAUGAACUACCAUUUUCCAAUGCCCAAACUACCCUUCUUACCUCCUACAAUUACUGCUCAGCCAAAGCCUCAUCAGCUGUAAUCCAAACUAAGUCCUAAAACUCUAAUAAAGCAUCCACUUGAUAAUAAUUAAACUGAACAACUAAUUAAGCUAAUUUAUCAACGAACAAACCAAGUAUGGCCAUCAAUUUAUACAAGAACCAAUGGUUUAUAUAAAAAAUUAUUCAACUAAAACAAAUCACUUAAGCUAAUUAAACAUGUAUUAACACCUAAUUGAUUGACUGAUUAAAACUGAACAUGACAAAAACAAGCUAAACAAACAGAAGGAAAGUUAAACUCAGAACUCACAUAAACAUGCAUCACUUGACAGAAAUUUGUCAAGCGAAUGACUAAUUAAACUAAUCGGAAACAAAAACCUACACUUAAUUAAAAGUUAUAACAUGAGUCGAACUAAAUUGAAACUAAAAAGCAAUAAGAAGAUGACUUACUGAUUUGCUCUUCCACUUUAUUUUAUUUGUGGGACUAACUUUUAAUUAAUAUUAUAGGUUUACCUUCUUCGCAAAACAAACUCAUAAUAUUAAUUAAAAGUCUUCUGAAUUAAUGAAGCCGAAUAGCGGACACACUUAAAAUCCCUAGAUUUUAGAUUCGUCCAGCUUCAGUGAGAUUCGAAGGGUUUUGACAAAAUAUUCGAGAUAAGGAAAGGCCGAAGACUAUCUCGUAUCAAUUAGGGAUCAUUUGCACAAUUUUGUGACUUGGCCGGAAAGAUUAAAUAGAAGAUUCGAAGGCUUCGGCUGUGAUUCGAAGAAAAACAAGGGCAGAUAUGGAAUGAGCAGAUGAAGGAGAAGAGGUGAUGUCAUUUUGGGGUAAUUUGGAGCUUCGCCGCAGGCAUAAGCGAUUUCAGGCCGGCGGCAUACGGAGGGAUGUGAUGGCGUUACAUUUCUCUUAUGAGGAGAUUAAGAGAGGAGAGGGCGAGGGGGCCGAGGGGAAUGGGUAGUGUUAGGACAAUAUUACACAAUUAAACCUAAGACACUUCUUGUCCAUUGAAUUAGAGAUAAACGGCUGAGAUUGGUUUAAGGAACGACCAGGUUUUCUUAUUUUG
rnacentral:lncRNA from 1 species